CACAUUUCUUGGUCACAAUUUAUCUUUUUCAUUGGUCAUGUAUUGUUUAUUGGUCACAGAUUAACCAAAUUAAUAGUCACAUGACACCAACACUUACGACCACCACCGCCUCCAGUAGUACCACCAUCACUAUCGCCGCCAGAACCACUACCACCACCUUCCAAAAGCGACAACCAACCAGCAAAAUAGUACGAGCUAUACUGCUAUUAUUGCAAGAACAAUGGACGCGAGAUAAGCCGAUUUCAACCCUGGUAACAAAUGACCAUAUCCCGAUUUGUCGCAGUAGCGACUACCACCAUCACCAUCACUCACAUCCACCACCACCACCACCACAGAAAUUAGGGAUUAAACGACCACCACCACCACCACCACCAUCACCUCACCACCACAGCCACCAAACAAAACCAAAUUCAAAGAAUUGAAUACCAGAUUUGUAGGUUGUCUUCGAUUUACUGGUGCUCGAAAAUGACUAGAACUACCUAUCGGUGGAGAGAAUGGAUACUAGAUCUACAGGGAGUUUUCAAUUUUUCGGUGGCAAAAAACGAUUAGAACUACCUGUCGAUGGAGAGAGAAUGGGUGCUAGAUCUGUGGGUUGUUUUCGAUUCAAUGGUGCCUGAACCUGCCACCACCACUAUUUGAUGGUGCCCGAACCUAAUGCAGAUCGAAGGAACGGUGUUGAGGCGUUGCUGUAAAUGGAAACGUUGUGCCCUGCUGCAGAGGUCAGGAGUGCUUAACUGGCGGUAACGGACAGUGUUGGUAGCCUCCGAUUGUGUGUGCUAAAGGUAUAGAAGAGUGAAUGAUGAGGAUAUAAAGAGAGAACAGAACGAAGUAUGCGUUGUACUGUCUAACGGUGGUGGUGCAAGGCUGAGCCACUGGUAGAGAGGGAGGAGAGUGUGUGGUGAGGAAUAUGAGAAUGGACAGAAGAAGAAAAUGAAUUAGGGUUUGGAAU
rnacentral:lncRNA from 1 species